AAAUUAGGUUUCGCUUCUAGAUUGUUGAAAAAUCUUUUCUGUUAGUAAAAUUUUCUUUACCGGCAAUUCGAAAGUUUAAUUUUAGUGUUAGAAAAAUUUCGAAAAGAAAUUAAAUAGUAAAUACUGUAGAGAAAAGGAUUAGAAAAGGCUUGUGGAUCGAGACGUGUAGAGCACUGUCCUAAAAGCGAAAUUGCCCCUCUACGUGUGAGGCUUCCCGGCAAUUACUUCCAACGAUACAACGUCCACGUUCCACCCCGUCGAUACGCUUUCAAUGUUGUGUGCAAAAUGAACCUAACAAGCUUUAGAUCUAAUGAAAUAUUAAAAAGCUCCGUAG
rnacentral:lncRNA from 1 species